AGCAGCCGCGGGAAUACGGAGGGGGCUAGCGUUGUUCGGAAUUACUGGGCGUAAAGCGCACGUAGGCGGCUUGGUAAGUUAGAGGUGAAAGCCUGGAGCUCGACUCCAGAAUUGCCUUUAAGACUGCCGAGCUAGCAGGUGAGAGAGGUAAGUGGAAUUCCGAGUGUAGAGGUGAAAUUCGUAGAUAUUCGGAAGAACACCAGUGGCGAAGGCGGCUUACUGGCUCAUACUGGACGCUGAGGUGCGAAAGCGUGGGGAGCAAACAGGAUUAGAUACCCCCGUAGUCCCUGUCUCUUAUACA
rnacentral:rRNA from 1 species